UGAGGGUGACUCUUGAUGCUUUGUGCUUC
rnacentral:piRNA from 1 species